AGAGUUUGAUCCUGGCUCAGAACGAACGCUGGCGGCAUGGAUUAGGCAUGCAAGUCGAACGGGAUCCUGAAUGUUCAAGUAGCAAUAUGAGAAUAUUCAGGUGAUAGUGGCGAAAGGGUGAGGAAUACGUGAGUAACCUGCCCCCAAGUUGGGAAUAGCUCCGGGAAACUGGAAUUAAUACCGAAUGUGGAACAUCUCUCGCAUGAGGGAUGCUCUAAAGAUUUAUUGCUUGGGGAGGGGCUCGCGUCCCAUCAGCUAGUUGGCGGGGUGAUAGCCCACCAAGGCGACGACGGGUAGCUGGUCUGAGAGGAUGGUCAGCCACACUGGGACUGAGAUACUGCCCAGACUCCUACGGGAGGCUGCAGUCGAGAAUCUUCCGCAAUGCGCGAAAGCGUGACGGAGCAAUGCCGCGUGAGGGAUGAGGGUCUUCGGAUUGUAAACCUCUGUCACCGGGGAGGAAUAAAUGACUGUACCCGGAGAGGAAGCCACGGCUAACUACGUGCCAGCAGCCGCGGUAAUACGUAGGUGGCGAGCGUUGUUCGGAUUUAUUGGGCGUAAAGGGUCCGCAGGGGGCCUGUUAAGUCUGAUGUGAAAUCCCGAAGCUCAACUUCGGAAUUGCAUUGGAAACUGGCGGGCUAGAGCAUCGGAGAGGAGAUUGGAAUUCCAGGUGUAGCGGUGGAAUGCGUAGAUAUCUGGAAGAACACCGAAGGCGAAGGCAGAUCUCUGGACGAUUGCUGACCCUCAGGGACGAAAGCGUGGGUAUCAAACAGGAUUAGAUACCCUGGUAGUCCACGCUGUAAACGUUGUGAACUUGACGUGGGGGGUUUCCUCCGUGUCGGAGCUAACGCGAUAAGUUCACCGCCUGGGAACUACGGCCGCAAGGCUAAAACUCAAAGGAAUUGACGGGGGCCCGCACAAGCGGUGGAGCAUGUGGCUUAAUUCGAUGCAACGCGAAGAAUCUUACCUGGGUUUGACAUGCAGGGAUUAUUCCGGUGAAAGCCGGUUGAUUACCGCAAGGUGUAACCUGCACAGGUGCUGCAUGGCUGUCGUCAGCUCGUGCCGUGAGGUGUUCGGUUAAGUCUGGCAACGAGCGCAACCCGUGCUGUUAGUUGCAAACAGGUAAAGCUGUGUUCUCUAACAGGACUGCCCGUGUUAAGCGGGAGGAAGGCGCGGAUGACGUCAAGUCCGUAUGGCCUUUAUACCCAGGGCUGCACACGUGCUACAAUGACCGGUACAAUGGGACGCAAGACCGCGAGGUGGAGCAAAUCCUUAAAACCGGUCCCAGUUCAGAUUGCAGUCUGCAACUCGACUGCAUGAAGUUGGAAUCGCUAGUAAAGGCGUAUCAGCCACGACGCCUUGAAUACGUUCCCGGGCCUUGUACACACCGCCCGUCACAUCAUGGAAGCUUAUUGCACCCGAAGUAGCUGAUUCUACCCGCAAGGGGGAUAGGUUCCUAAGGUGUGGUCAGUGGCUGGGAUGAAGUCGUAACAAGGUAACC
rnacentral:rRNA from 1 species